rnacentral:rRNA from 1 species
UACGUAGGUGGCAAGCGUUGUCCGGAAUUAUUGGGCGUAAAGCGCACGCAGGCGGCCUUUUAAGUCUGAUGUGAAAGCCCACGGCUCAACCGUGGAAGGUCAUUGGAAACUGAAAGGCUUGAGUACAGAAGAGGAAAGCGGAAUUCCACGUGUAGCGGUGAAAUGCGUAGAGAUGUGGAGGAACACCAGUGGCGAAGGCGGCUUUCUGGUCUGUAACUGACGCUGAGGCGCGAAAGCGUGGGGAGCAAACAGG